AUUGAACGCUGGCGGCAUGCCUUACACAUGCAAGUCGAACGGUAACAGGUUAAGCUGACGAGUGGCGAACGGGUGAGUAAUAUAUCGGAACGUGCCCAGUCGUGGGGGAUAACGCAGCGAAAGCUGUGCUAAUACCGCAUACGAUCUAUGGAUGAAAGCGGGGGAUCGCAAGACCUCGCGCGAUUGGAGCGGCCGAUAUCAGAUUAGCUAGUUGGUGGGGGAAAGGCCCACCAAGGCGACGAUCUGUAGCUGGUCUGAGAGGACGACCAGCCACACUGGAACUGAGACACGGUCCAGACUCCUACGGGAGGCAGCAGUGGGGAAUUUUGGACAAUGGGCGCAAGCCUGAUCCAGCAAUGCCGCGUGCAGGACGAAGGCCUUCGGGUUGUAAACUGCUUUUGUACGGAACGAAACGGUUCUCUCUAAUACAGGGGGCUAAUGACGGUACCGUAAGAAUAAGCACCGGCUAACUACGUGCCAGCCGCCGCGGUAA
rnacentral:rRNA from 1 species